rnacentral:lncRNA from 1 species
GAGGAAGAACACUUACCUGGGCGAAGACAAAGACGAGGGUAAUGAUCCUAGCGCCGGCCGAAGAACGUCCUUCUCUUCCCCUUCCUUUCAGUCUCUCUCCCUUCUGUCUCCUGCGUUCUCUCGUUCUCUCUCGUUUUCUCCCUUUUUUAAUUUUUUUCCUGCCUUGUCUCUCUGCUUUUUUUGGUCCUCUCUGUGAACUCCCCCCUGUUAUUGCCCCUGUGUUUGUUCCCUAUUUUUUGUUCGUUCUUCUCCCUGUGUUUACCUUCUGCUGGCAAUGGGAACCUCUACUGGAUGCUGCUCUCGGUUGAAGAUAAGAUGUUGGACACUGCUUCUGCUAUUCAUGAUGGUAGCUUGCUGAGAAGAGGAUUUCUGCUGCUCGCAGUGGCAGCUUGUUGAGAGGAGCUGCUGUCAUUGGUCGUUGAUGAUGUGACUGAAAAUCAAGUUGCUGAAAAUAGUACUGCCGCUGCUGGGAAGAGGAGGUUACUGCUGCUAUCCGAAGAGAAGGGACUCAAGUUCUCUGCCGACCGGAUGUUGCUGAUGGAAGCUGCUGAAACACCGGCUGAAAGCCUAUAUGGAAAAGAGAAGAAGCUCCUGCUGGACUGAGGGGAAAAAGGAGAUGAAGGCGUCUCCUGCAACACCGGCCGAAAGCCUGGGUGGCGGCAGGGAGCAGAAAGUGGGAUAACAGCCGAAUUUGUGCUCUGCUACAAUUAU